rnacentral:sRNA from 1 species
ACAAAGCGAUAAAAAGCAAAGAAAACAAUCCAACAACUACUAGUUUACAAUAAAACCAGAGACUCAUGUCCACGUAAUCAUUGGCAUGUGGCCCCAAAAAAGUGCUUUUUUAGCUCCAACAAUGGGUACCAAAGAGAGGCAAUCUUGAUAACGAAAACAAUGGCGUUUCUCUUUACCAUGCCACAUAUUUCUCUUUGAAACAAAGAGAACACUGCGUAUAAUUUGAAUAAAGUCAACAUCAAAUUUCACAACCUUUCACUAACGGUCUUUGGCAAUAAACUGGAAUGCUACGGUGUAACACUUUGUUGGGUCCUUUGUAAAGUUUAUCAUCAUCAGUUUAUCUUACAACGCUAAAAGGAAAGCUUUAUUUUUGGGUCAACAUCAUUACAAGCAUCUAAACAUUGCUUAGCAACAUUGUUGCAAAGGAAGUAUGACUCCGCCCAGGUUUAUAUUCUGCUGUUGACAUGCGUAGUAGUUAAACAUAAUUUUAACCAAUAAUAAAUGAGAUUAUGUCAAUUUUAUGCAAA